rnacentral:rRNA from 1 species
AUACGGAGGAUGCAAGCGUUAUCCGGAUUUAUUGGGUUUAAAGGGUGCGUAGGCGGUUUGCUAAGCGGGAGGUGAAAUGCCGGCGCCCAACGUCGGAAGUGCCUCCCGAACUGGUGGACUGGAAUGACUCUGCCGUGGGAGGAAUGUGUAGUGUAGCGGUGAAAUGCUUAGAGAUUACACAGAACACCGAUUGCGAAGGCAUCUCACGAAGGGUUGAUUGACGCUGAGGCACGAAAGCGUGGGGAUCAAACAGGAUUAGAUACCCUGGUAGUCCACGCAGUAAACGAUGAUGGCUAACCGCUGGUUUAUUCGGAUCAGUGGCCAAGCGAAAGCGAUAAGCCAUCCACCUGGGGAGUACGACCGCGAGGUUGAAACUCAAAUGAAUUGACGGGG